CCUCCCCCACGUAGGCCCCUGGGUCUCCGUUUCCGAUUUCAUUUCAUUCUCGUGUCUGAAUAAAACCACACUUCUUUUCUCCUGUACUACUUUAAGGUUACAAGAAAGCCCUCUCGCGGCGUCUUCUCGCACGUUUCCAAAUGCCAGGGACCAAGUUUUGUGACUGCGAUGCCCACUGUGAGGGCCUGCACUGAAAAGCCUUGCGACGCCGCCGUAUAUGAAUCUUGGGCACCUUGGAAAAGCCUUAAAACGCGGCUGACAUACUGAAAUUUCACCUUUAACGAGCUGAGGCAGGACUGAUCGAGUUCUGGAGACUGGGAAGUCUAUCAGAUGCUCGCGUGAUCAGGUUCUGGUGAGAGCCUACUUUCUGGUUUGCAGUUGGGAAGAGACUCUUUUCAGUGUGGUUGCUGAGAUGAAAGGAGGAAGUCUGCAGUUCCUUGUUGCUUCCUUAUCACCAUGAGGCAAAAGCUAGCCCAAGAAUGGAGCCAACACAUCACAAGCACAAAACCAAGUCCUGAUGACAUCGGUUGCCCUCCUUGAUCCAGCUAGGCCCAAACAAGGAUCUGUCCCUGGAUGUUUCAGUUACAUGAGCUUAAGUUCUUUUUGUACUUAAGCAAGUUGAAUUGGGUUUCUGUUACUUGGAGCAGAAGAGACCUAACUAAUAUACCCUAGGAAUAGAGCAAGGGUGUAUAUCUUUCAGAAGAUGAACUUUGGUGGCUAUGUGGAUGAGAAAUGGCUUAAGGAAUGCAGAAGAAUAAGACAGCUCUUUUCCUUCAGAAAAUGAGUCCCAGGAGGGAAGGGAGCCUGAUGGAUAUCUCUCUUCAUCAUGCUGCCUGAAGAGCCUGGAGGUGGGGCUAAGGGGAUAGCAAAGGCCUUAACCAGAACCUCUAACACAAGACCUGGACCUGUGGCCUGCUGAGUGAUCUGGCUCUGAGAGUAGCAGCAGGUGAAGGUGUGUACUCUGGGAUGUGCACAGCUCUGGUGCCUUCAGUUUCAGAGGGGACUCUGCUUUGCUCUGACCUUCAGUUUAUGCCACAUGGACACAGAGGCCACAUAAUAUAGUGAUUUACAGAAAGGAUUUGGGAGCCAGACUGGCCAGAUUUGAACCCCAGCACUACCCCUUGCUAUCUCUGUAACCUGGGACAAAUUAUGUAAUCACUCCUAUAUGAAAGGAGACAAUAAUACUAGUACCUUCCUCACACUACAUGACUAUAGGAUGUAAACAAAACCAGAGAUAUGUUAUCAUUGUAAAGUUCAACAUGGUUGGUCCUACCAAAUGGAAAUUGUUCACCUGUGUCUUACAAAAAAAAAAAGACAUUUCGGAUUCUUUCUACUUUGUCCCUACAGCUCUGUAUAGUGUCUCUCCUGUUAUGUAAUAUUUCUUACCAGUGGUCCUCUUUUGGUUUUUUACAAGGUUUUUCUUUUUUUUUUAAUAAGGAUUAAAUUAAUUAAAACAUGACAUAUAGAAAAAAUUUAAAAAUUAGCUGUUAUGUGUUAAUAUUAUUAUUUUUAUGACUCAUAGAAUGCAAUGGAGAAAAUGGCUGAAAAAAUGGAACUCUAAGGAAUCUACUUGGGCUCAGAACAUAGCUGUUUAUUGAUGCUUCGUCGAUGUUGAUGUGACGAGAUGCAGAUGGUGAUAACCUAUAAUCCUUUCAGAAGUAGCUGAAUAAAUAUGCUUUCAGUUGUGUUAUCAGUUCAUGCAGUGAAAAUAAGCUUAAAUCCAUAGGAAAUGACAGACACAAAUGGGGUAAACGCUGAGUUAAUUAAUUAUUUCUACAGUUGUGCAAUAUGAAAUCCAAACAAUGUUAUUCUGCUGUUUAUAUGACAGAUCUAUGCUUUUGGUUAGUCCCUUGCAGCAAUGAUGACAAUCACAAAACAGCAAGUAGAAAACAAAAUGCAGUUCAGAUUGUUCUUGGGGGUAAACAUAAGAGAACAAACCAGGACUACUAGUAAGAAAUCAGACAAAAUAGGAGAGAUGAUAGAAAGGUUUAUAGGGACAAAGUAAAUAGAACCCAGAAUGUCUUUUUUUGUUUUCUUUUUGCAAGAUACAAGCAACCUCCAUUCAGUAGGACUAACCACGUUGAACUCACAGUGAUAAUACACCUUGACAUCCUGCAGCUUAUUCAUAGAGCGUGCUAACUAGCAUAUGUUGUGUGUUUACUUCAAGCUCAGUAUCAACUGUGGAUACUGUUCAGUCCAAAUAUUAUCAAGGUCUUUUAAAGUUGCAGUUAUAAUAUUUUAAACACUAUCUAUUACAUAUACUAGUAGAGCCAGAUUAAUUCUUUUCAGGCUGUAUCUCAGAUUUCUUCAAUUUUUGUUAUUUUAAUUAUCUACAUGUUGUGAUUAUAUUCUUACAGUACUUUUUUCAGCAGGUUAAAUGUGUCUUGGUGAAAUGUCCCUUAAAUCAGAUGAUAUCAUAUGAACCAUAUGAAAAGAAUAAUUAUAAAUAUUCUAAUAUCAGUGAUUUAGAUUUAAAUCAGUUUUAAUGAGUUCUGGAAAUAAAAUUUAUA